AAGUGGAAGCUUCCUUGCUCAUU
rnacentral:snRNA from 1 species